GCUAGUUGGUGAGGUAAAGGCUUACCAAGGCGACGAUCAGUAGCUGGUCUGAGAGGACGACCAGCCACACUGGGACUGAGACACGGCCCAGACUCCUACGGGAGGCAGCAGUGGGGAAUUUUGGACAAUGGGGGAAACCCUGAUCCAGCCAUGCCGCGUGAGUGAAGAAGGCCUUCGGGUUGUAAAGCUCUUUCAGCCGGAACGAAACGGUCACGGCUAAUACCUGUGACUACUGACGGUACCGGAAGAAGAAGCACCGGCUAACUACGUGCCAGCAGCCGCGGUAAUACUUAGGGUGCGAGCGUUAAUCGGAAUUACUGGGCGUAAAGCGUGCGCAGGCGGUUUUGUAAGUCAGAUGUGAAAUCCCCGGGCUUAACCUGGGAACUGCGUUUGAAACUACAAAGCUAGAAGGG
rnacentral:rRNA from 1 species